ACUCAAAGGAAUAGACGGGGGCCCGCACAAGCGGUGGAGCAUGUUGGUUAAUUGGAUGAUACGCCAAGAACCUUACCAGGGCUUGACAUGUUCCUGACAGCCUGCGAAAGCAGGUCUUCCUCGCAAGAGGACAGGAUCACAGGUGGUGCAUGGUUGUCGACAGCUCGUGUCGUGAGAUGUUGGGUUAAGUCCCGCAACGAGCGCAACCCUCACCGAAUGUUGCCAGCGGAUAAUGCCGGGGACUCUUUCGGGACUGCCUGAGUAAUCAGGAGGAAGGGGGGGACGACGUCAAAUCGGCAUGCCCCUUAUGUCCUGGGCUGCAAACGUGCUACAAUGGCCGGCUACAAAGGGAAGCCAAGCCGCGAGGUGGAGCUAAUCCUCAAAGUCGGUCCCAGUUGGGAUUGGAUCUCUGCAACUCGAGUCCAUGAACGUGGAAUCGCUAGUAAUCGCGGAUCAGCAAUGCCGCGGUGAAUACGUUCCCGGGCCUUGCACACACCGCCCGU
rnacentral:rRNA from 1 species